rnacentral:rRNA from 1 species
GAUCAUGGCUCAGGAUGAACGCUAGCUACAGGCUUAACACAUGCAAGUCGAGGGGCAGCAUUUCAGUUUGCUUGCAAACUGGAGAUGGCGACCGGCGCACGGGUGAGUAACACGUAUCCAACCUGCCGAUAACUCGGGGAUAGCCUUUCGAAAGAAAGAUUAAUACCGGAUGGUAUAAUCAGACCGCAUGGUCUUGUUAUUAAAGAAUUUCGGUUAUCGAUGAGGAUGCGUUCCA